rnacentral:lncRNA from 1 species
GCCUUGGAAGGGUAAGGCAACUUGCCUGAGCUCUUUCAGCUUAUAUGUGGGAAGGCAGGAAGUGAAACUCAACACCUCCUGGUACCAAAGCAAGACCACUCAAACCAGGAAACUGAUAGCUCUUCCAACAACCUGGUUAUUGGAACAGGACAGGUGGUCAUGGCUCCAGCUGCAACAAAUAGAGCCACUCCAUCCCAAUUUUGCACACACUCCAUCAUCAAAAACAGACUUACUCUGGUCCAGAUGUAACUCAAGUACUGUACUUUUUUGGCUAGUCUCAUCUUGAUUUCCUUUUGUUUUGCUUUUUCCUUCUGAUAUCUGUUGCAUAGCUGUAUCUGUGUCAUGCGUAGCUCCUGGAUGAAUCUCUUUGCAGCACCUAGCACUGUGUUAUAACCUAGUAAUAAAUAAGUGGUGGUAGUGCUACCUGGCUGACUGGACACCAAGCAAUAAAGAUGCCCAUGCUUAUCCACUCAGAGCAGCUGAUACCCCUUGAAAGACAGCUCAGAAGACAAAGAUGGAAAAGGAGAAUAGCAGACAGAUGUUGGUUACCUACUCUCCCUUCUCUCCCCAAUCCUCGUCACUGGGCAAGAGCCUCUUCCUUCCAGGCAGACAGGACCAGUGAGAGGGGCGGCAGAAGGACAUCCUAAACCCCUACCAGGUACGCAGUUACAAGCAGGAGCCUGAGCCAGAAGCACUGUGAAUGGAGACCUCCUUCCCUCACUUAAUGGCCGUGUGAUCUGAGACAGUUCACUCAGUUUACGUUUCCUCAUCUGUAGAAUGGGGAUCACAGUAAAACUCAUGGCCUACAGUUGUUUUGAGGAUGAAAUGAGAUGACACAUUUAAAGUGCUAACACCUA